UACGUAGGUGGCAAGCGUUGUCCGGAAUUAUUGGGCGUAAAGCGCGCGCAGGCGGCUUCUUAAGUCCAUCUUAAAAGUGCGGGGCUUAACCCCGUGAUGGGAUGGAAACUGAGAGGCUGGAGUAUCGGAGAGGAAAGUGGAAUUCCUAGUGUAGCGGUGAAAUGCGUAGAGAUUAGGAAGAACACCGGUGGCGAAGGCGACUUUCUGGACGACAACUGACGCUGAGGCGCGAAAGCGUGGGGAGCAAACAGG
rnacentral:rRNA from 2 species